GUCGAAAAUACCGUGGAAACAGUUUACCUUCAUUUGCAUCUAAUUUUAAUUUUUAGUUCCCACAUUUAACCACGAGACCUUCAUCAUCCCUCGCACUUCCUCUAUCUCAACCGCUACUUUCACUCUAACCGGGACUUCAUCCCCUUCCGGCUAUCGGUCAAAUUGCGCAACUUCAAAGGAUUGAAGAUCUAGUUCGAUUCUUCUCAUAUGGAUCUGUUUUCGAGCGAGACUGCUUUGAUGCAAGCUUGUCAACAUGGGCAUUAGGAGGUUGUUCAGAUUUUGAUUCUCUUCAAGGCCAAUAUUAUAUUCUCAGUUCUCCAAAUGUUUGGGACAUCCUUACUACAACAACAAAUGAUGAGGACUCUAAUAACUCGGAGUUUGACAAAAGAUGUGUAAUCUCGCUUUGUUUUUUUUUAAAUUGAGUUGUGUUUGUGUUGGUAUUAUAGGGCAUUAUAUGAGAUAAUCAAUAGAUCUUCUUAUAACUGCUCUUCAUAUAGCUGCACAUGUUGAAAGUGUUCAUUAUUUCUUGAUUUUAGAGCUUCUGUUUCUCAAGUUACUAUUGGAGAUGGAACUACAAUUGAUUUAAUUGGAUGUACUCCUCUUCACUACGCUGCUUGUGUUGGAAAUGCUCAAUGUUGUCAGAUUGACUCCAUUGAUGGUGUCGCGAUCAUGGCAUAGAGAUUGGCUUGAGCAAAUCCUUUGCCCACUGCCACAACCUGAACUUCCUCAACUUAUUCCUUUGCCUUUUCUUUCUCUUCCUCUUUUCAACAUGGUCAAGAUCGCUAGAAUGCGGAUGGAGGAGUGAUUCUAUCACAUGUGUUGUUGAUCUAUGUGUCGUUUGUUUGGAGAACAAAUGUAUAGUUGUUGCACAAGGCUGUGAUCACGAAUUCUGCACACAAUGUGCUCUAUACCUGUGUUCGACAAACAACACGACUUCAACUGCAGGCAACGAGCCUCCAGGAGCUGCUAGAGACAUCACCAUUAUGCAGAACCGAAAGAGAAAGGUUCCAGUGCACGAGAAUUCCUCCGCUAGGAUCACCUUUUCGUUCUUUAAGCUGUCAAAGGUUUCCAGUUACUUUUGAUUCAACAAACACACACUUUGCCAGCUUAUAUUGUUGAUGUUGCCCUUAAAAAUGUAGGUCAAGAUUAGACCUUGAAGCUAGAGGUCUACCUCAAAGCAUCCCUCCUCUCGCACAAUACCUUGGAAAAUAAGUCAUGAUCAAGAUGAAUAAAGUACACAACUAGCCUAACCUAUUAGGAAUAAGGUAAAGAUUUCCUUUUAUGGUUGUGACUAGUAUGCAUAUUCUCUCAUGACUUCAGCUUCGGGUUUUGUUCACUCAUCGUUGAUAUGUGCUUGAAGAAUUGAAGUUUUUAUUCCGUUGCGUUAAUAUAUUUAGUGCUAAAGAAACUUAGAAUGUAUUUUGUGAUAAUGGAUUAUUUUAGAAUGUAUUUUGUAAUAAUGGAUGAUUGAUUAUUAUUUUAUUUUAUGUAUAUUUUGAAUUUAUUUUUUUAAUA